rnacentral:rRNA from 1 species
GACGAACGCUGGCGGCGUGCUUAACACAUGCAAGUCGAACGGAAAGGCCCUGCUUUUGUGGGGUGCUCGAGUGGCGAACGGGUGAGUAACACGUGAGUAACCUGCCCUUGACUUUGGGAUAACUUCAGGAAACUGGGGCUCAUACCGGAUAGGAGCUCCUGCUGCAUGGUGGGGGUUGGAAAGUUUCGGCGGUUGGGGAUGGACUCGCGGCUUAUCAGCUUGUUGGUGGGGUAGUGGCUUACCAAGGCUUUGACGGGUAGCCGGCCUGAGAGGGUGACCGGCCACAUUGGUACUGAGAUACGGCCCAGACUCCUACGGGAGGCAGCAGUGGGGAAUAUUGCACAAUGGGCGGAAGCCUGAUGCAGCAACGCCGCGUGCGGGAUGACGGCCUUCGGGUUGUAAACCGCUUUCGCCGGUGACGAAGCGUGAGUGACGGUAAUGGGUAAAGAAGCACCGGCUAACUACGUG